rnacentral:rRNA from 1 species
CGGUAAUUCCAGCUCCAAUAGCGUAUACUAAAGUUGUUGCAGUUAAAAAGCUCGUAGUUGGAUUUCUGCGGGGACGGAGCGGCCGGACGCAACUUGCGUCUCGAGCUAGCGCUUUCCCCGCAUCCUGCCGCGAACCGUGCUACCAUUAGCUUGGUGGCGCUGGGGAUCGGCUCGAUUACUUUGAGAAAAAUAGAGUGUUCAAAGCAGGCCACACGCCUUGAAUAAGUUAGCAUGGAAUAAUGACUAAGGACUUCGGUUCUAUUUUGUUGGUGUUCGGGACUGAAGUAAUGAUUGAUAGGGACAGUUGGGGCGGUCUGUAUUCCAAAGCGAGAGGUGAAAUUCUUAGACCUUCGGAAGACAAACAGCUGCGAAAGCGUUCCGCAAGGAUGUUCCCUUUGAUCAAGAACGAAAGUUGGGGGAUCGAAGACGAUCAGAUACCGUCGUAGUCUCAACUAUAAACUAUACCAGCUAGGGAUCGGUCAACGUUUAAUCAUUCGACUUGAUCGGCACCUUAUGAGAAAUCAAAGCAUCUGGGUUCCGGGGGGAGUAUGGUCGCAAGGCUGAAACUUAAAGGAAUUGACGGAAGGGCACCACCAGCCGUGGAGCCUGUGGCUUAAUUUGACUCAACACGGGAAAACUUACCAGGUCCAGACAUAGUAAGGAUUGACAGAUUGAUAGCUCUUUCUUGAUUCUGUGGGUGGUGGUGCAUGGCCGUUCUUAGUUGGUGGAGUGAUUUGUCUGGUUAAUUCCGUUAACGAACGAGACCCCAGCCUGCUAAAUAGCGCGGCUGAGCUUUGCUCGGUGCGAGCUUCUUAGAGGGACUAUGAUGCGCGAUAGCACAUGGAAGUUUGGGGCAAUAACAGGUCUGUGAUGCCCUUAGAUGUUCUGGGCCGCACACGGGCUACACUGGCGCCUGCAACGAGCAUAUCAGCUGGCCCGAGAGGGUCUUGGCUAAUCUUUUGAACCGGCGCCGUGCUUGGGAUUGACCAUUGCAAUUGUUGGUCAUGCAACGAGGAAUGCCUUGUAAACGCGAGUCAUCAGCUCGCAUUGAAUACGUCCCUGCCCCUUGUACACACCGCCC